AACGAACGCUGGCGGCAUGCCUAACACAUGCAAGUCGAACGAGACCUUCGGGUCUAGUGGCGCACGGGUGCGUAACGCGUGGGAACCUGCCCUUAGGUUCGGAAUAACUCCCCGAAAGGGGUGCUAAUACCGGAUAAUGUCUUCGGACCAAAGAUUUAUCGCCUUUGGAUGGGCCCGCGUUGGAUUAGCUAGUUGGUAGGGUAAAAGCCUACCAAGGCGACGAUCCAUAGCUGGUCUGAGAGGAUGAUCAGCCACACUGGGACUGAGACACGGCCCAGACUCCUACGGGAGGCAGCAGUGGGGAAUAUUGGACAAUGGGCGAAAGCCUGAUCCAGCACUGCCGCGUGAGUGAUGAAGGCCUUAGGGUUGUAAAGCGCUUUUACCCGGGAUGAUAAUGACAGUACCGGGAGAAUAAGCUCCGGCUAACUCCGUG
rnacentral:rRNA from 1 species